GACGAACGCUGGCGGCGUGCUUAACACAUGCAAGUCGAGCGGUAAGGCCCUUUCGGGGGUACACGAGCGGCGAACGGGUGAGUAACACGUGGGUGACCUGCCCUCAGCUCUGGGAUAAGCCUGGGAAACCGGGUCUAAUACUGGAUAUGACUCCAUGACGCAUGUUGUGGGGUGGAAAGCCUUGUGCGGCUGAGGAUGGGCCCGCGGCCUAUCAGCUUGUUGGUGGGGUGANGGCCCCACCAAGGCGACGACGGGUAGCCGGCCUGAGAGGGCGACCGGCCACACUGGGACUGAGACACGGCCCAGACUCCUACGGGAGGCAGCAGUGGGGAAUCUUGCGCAAUGGGCGAAAGCCUGACGCAGCGACGCCGCGUGAGGGAUGACGGCCUCGGUU
rnacentral:rRNA from 1 species